UACAGAGGUCUCAAGCGUUGUUCGGAUUCAUUGGGCGUAAAGGGCGCGUAGGCGGCGGGGUAAGUCGGGUGUGAAAUCUCAGAGCUCAACUCUGAAAUGGCACUUGAUACUGCUCUGCUAGAGGACUGGAGAGGAGAUUGGAAUUUACGGUGUAGCGGUGAAAUGCGUAGAUAUCGUAAGGAAGACCAGUGGCGAAGGCGGGUCUCUGGACAGUUCCUGACGCUGAGGCACGGAGGCCAGGGGAGCAAACGGG
rnacentral:rRNA from 1 species